rnacentral:rRNA from 1 species
UUGUCGUCAGCUCGUGUCGUGAGAUGUUGGUUAAGUCCGCAACGAGCGCAACCCCUAUUGUUAGUUGCCAUCAUUCAGUUGGGCACUCUAGCGAGACUGCCGGUAAUAAACCGGAGGAAGGUGGGGAUGACGUCAAAUCAUCAUGCCCCUUAUGACCUGGGCUACACACGUGCUACAAUGGUUGGUACAACGAGUUGCGAGUCGGUGACGGCGAGCUAAUCUCUUAAAGCCAAUCUCAGUUCGGAUUGUAGGCUGCAACUCGCCUACAUGAAGUCGGAAUCGCUAGUAAUCGCGGAUCAGCACGCCGCGGUGAAUACGUUCCCGGGCCUU